AGAACGAUAACUUUCUCGUGGUCGGGUUUGGGGAACGGAUAGGGAACACCACGUUUGGGGAGGAUAACAAUUGCGCCGUGAACCGUGGCUCGAAGCCACAGGAUGUGAGCGUGCCACCAGAGAGUCCCGCGUUGGCCGGUCAAGGUGUAGUUGUAUGUGUAGACUUGACCUGGCUGGAGUGGGCACUGGGUGAUGUAAGCUGGCCCAUCGGCCCAUCCCGUUCUCACUUGUCUCACACCGUGCCUGUUCUCGGUCGUCCACAGUCACCAAUCAAUUAACUAAUAAACUUACCAAUGAUGAUUCAUUUGAAGAUUAAGUAGGAGGUUACCAGUGGAUGGAGACGUUGUACUUGACGUGAUUAACGACUUUGAUGAGCAACGUGUCGUCUUCUCGUGCGUAGAUUGUGGGACCUGGAUAUCUACCGUUCACGGUCACGGUUGGCUUGCUUGAGCAUAGUCUAGUAAUGUUUUUCAUCACAACCUGUGUGAUUUUCAAACACAAAUAUAAUCAGUAAUAAUUAUAUUGCAAAGUUAGGCAAAAGGGAAAAAGGUAAAUAAAAGAAAAGCAAACCAAUAACUAUAAUCAUUAUCUGAUUGUAAGUUGUAACCAAAAAUAGAUAAAAUCAUACUUCACUUCAUUCACAUGUACGUCAAAAGUCAAAACAUUAUAUAGCCCUUUUAUAUAAAAUGAUUGUCAUGUUUAAAAGGGGGAAAACACCUGACGUACAUAACUUUAAAAUGGUAAUGUGUGCCAGUAAAAGGCUCAUAAGAUGUAAAAAUAUAUUUACAGAAAAUUUAGGUCUAAAUAUCCUAUAUGAAGUAUAAAUUACUUUUUUUUUUUGACAUCAGUACAAAUUACAUAUAUAUGUUCUAAUUAUGUGAAGCCAUAAACCAUAUAUAUCACUACGUAAGCAUGUACGAAAUAUAACUUAUGCUUAUAAGUUACAGUAGUGUGUGUGCAUAUAUAUGGACAUCUUGCGACUACUUCCUAUGUAGCGAAAGAGAUCGGCAUGGCACGUACACGAACACAUAAUAUGUAUGUAUAUAUACAUCUAUGCAAAUGGAUAGAUAUAAACUCACGUUAAAUUUGUAAUGGCGAACCAUGCUCUCCGAUGGAGCUGGGAACACAGACAAGAAGGACACAAGAAACAGAAACCAAACCAUAUGAGACUUCAUAUCUCUCUCUCUCCUCGGUUUCUCUCGUCCUUUCUCUUCUUCUUCUUCUGUGUAUUUAAUAUUCUUGUCUUUGUGUUUGAGAUGAGCGACUGGGCAACGCAAGCUUAUAAAUGAGAGAGGAGAAAGAGUUUAGAAACGAGAGAAGGAGGCAACGUCGUUUUAGGUGGUAGGUCGACCCAAAAUCCAACUCUUUAUAGUUAAGAUUCCCAUUCUUGCCACAACCAAUCUCCCUGACCAAACAAAAGAAAAUUAAUUUUCUUUUCGUACCAAAUUAAUUGUCAAAUCUCGUUUACCAUAUGCUUUAUUUUAAAUUUUGAUUAAUUUCGACAAAACUACAUGUAUUACUAAUUCGAAUUUUAUGUUUGAACUCUUCUGGAUUAACAUGAUUAUUUAGCUAAUUAACAUGCCAAUAAAACAUAUUAAUAUAAUUUUUCUUGGUCUCGAUUAUGCUCAAUUAUUUUACCGGGUAUGUUUGUACUGUUUUAAUUGUUUUUUUGUACUGUUUUAAGUAUUUAUCACUUGUACUGUGUGCAUAAGUUUGUAAUAUAACUGUGAUCAUAUUACGUAGUUACGAUGGGCAACAAAAAGAACGACACGAAGUUGGGAGUAAAUAGGGAGCACUGGCGCAUAGUUUGACCCACCGGAGCGACAACAGAAGAGUGCGAGCGUGCCAGUAAGGCUUCCACUCAUAAUGCGCUCCACACGCUUUUGUACAUUAGUGGCUUUGCACAAAUCAUUUGAUAUCUUUAAUAAAUUUAUUACUUCUAGUUAUAUAUAAAAAUAUUUCAUAGACUUUUAUUAUAAGUUGGAACCCAUACUUUACGUUAUAAAUUUAUGAAUUUUGGAGGUGCCAAGAAAAUGACAGGGCUCUGAUAGUUUUGUUGUCAAUGGGAAUUUAUAUUUCGUUUGAACUUUUUGCUGUAGUAUAUAUAUCUCUGGAAAACCAUAGAGAAACUAUAUAAUUUCAGGAAAUACAAAUCAGUCAUACCGACAUGCCGUUUUUUGAAAUUUCCAACAGUGAAAUGAAAAGAUAAAUUCUACAGAAGUCCGUCUAUGUCCUAGUCUUUACCAACAAAACAAUAACCAUUGAAUUAUAUUAUCAUUUGUUUAAAUUUAAGAUUAUGAUUAAAAAUAAAAUACAUUUUCUUCAUGUAGAAUAUAUAUGAAUGUAUGUAUGUAUGUUAUAUUUCACUGAAUGUUACAAUAAAAUAUUUCUCAUUCUCAAUAUAGUCUUGUUUAAGUCUAUAUAUAUUCUUUAGCCAAAGAAAUAUUCUUGAUGUGCUCAUUUUGGAAUUCUCCGAGAGAACUUUUGAGCUAUGGCAACAAAAUUAUUUAUAAAAUUUUAUUGACUUUUUGAAACUAAAUUUUAUUGAUUUUAACAUAUUUAAUUAGUAUGUGCAGUUUUACUGAUCUAAAUUGUUAUGAAGGUUUUGUCAUUUAUAUAUCUUUAAUUACAUGGUCUCUUUAAUCGCUAAAAUGAUAUUUAUUCCAACUGAAAUUAAUCACAAAUAUAAUCAGUUAUUAUAUGCUUGUCUAAGGAGUUUUAAAACUUAGAACUCCCAAAUUUUUUUUAAAGAUUUAAAAGUAACAGAAAAGAAAAGCUAGCUACCUAACCUAAUAUGUAUAUUAAAAACUCCAGUUUCAUGGCAGCACAAUCGAAAGAGAAAAAUAAUUAAGAAAUAAACCGAAUAAUCGAGAUGAUACAACGUCGGUUUUUAAAGGAGAAAUAUAGCCGACAAAAAUAAAUAAAUAAACUCACUUCUCCAAAGAGGGUGGCUCAAAGUCAAGGUCAAAAGCUCAUGUGUUUCAAGAGGUCAAUUUAGAUAACCAUAUAGUUGUUAUGCUAAAACAAUUUAAGAUAACCAAAUAGUUUUGUUUCUUUUCUUUAAUUUAUCCCCACCCCUUAACCAAUCAAUUUAUUGUUAAUCCUCGUAUUAUCAUGCACUUAACUUUGUCCUAACCCCACAUGGCUACGGGCUACCUAUGUAAUAAAGUUAUUUUCUUGAUGGGGGAGAUAUAUCUAAUAUUCAAUUUGGUGCGAGACUUUUUCCUCAAGGGGUAUUAAUUUGCACAUCUGUGAGCUUUUCAAUGUUUUACUAACAUAUAUAACAUCAGAUUCCAAUUUCUUAAACCGAUUAAGUUUGUUUGGUCGAAAAUUAUAAGUGGCGAGAGCAUAAACUCAUAUAUUUUCAAGGUCCGGUGAUCUAAGGACGAAAUAAAAAAGGUAAAUGUGUAAUAAAAUACGUUGUUGAUUCAUAUACCAUCUAUAUAAAUUUUGUUUAAAAAUAAAGUUGUUGGACCAAAAGAAUAUAAUAAACUCAUGGGUCAUAUAAGAGUUGUGUUGGAGAGAAUAAUGAUAUAAUAAUAUAAAUGGAUGUUGGAUAUAAUGAUAAAAAAUAUUGUUGUAAUACAAUCUCUUUUCUUUUCCUUCCUCUUUUAUUCAAACUUUGCUUGAGCAAAAAAAUCGAACCUUUAACUUUGCUCAAAAAAUAUAAUUUGCUAACCAAAUCCACGCAUUAAUUCACCACUCGCUGGUCUUCUUAAACGUGCCCUUGUUUAGUUGAAGAAUCUAACACUUGGGAAGAUCCUUAGGCGGUGGCAAAAUCGACUGAUUUGGUCCUUUGCCGUUCUCCACCAAGAAAGCCAUCUUUAAUCCCCACGUCGUGUGUACCUCCAAGUGACAAUGCAUGAACCAAACCCCUAUACGUUACAAAAUAUCAAUCCAUUACUUUUAUAACGAGGAGAUUAUAUAAUAGUAUUUGACUUCUUGCCAUAAGAUUUUUAUUUGUUUCAUUUUUAAAAUAACAUGGUGACGGCAAAUCAAGUUAUACACUAACAUAGCUUGCACACUGCUAUCUGAAUUUGGCAAGGGACAUAUGAUGAGUUAGACCUAAACCUAUGACUACUACAACUUCUAUAAACACUAGAUUAGAAUCAUUUAAUUAACUUAUUUUUACUUUGAAUUUUGUGAACUUACCGGGAUUAUCCGCUCUGAAUCUGAUGACAACCCAUCCACCAGAUGGAACUCCGAUUGUGUUCCUCUCAACCGGAUCGACCAAAUUGAAAUUGCUUGGAUCUUUCUUGGCGUUGAAGUUACCUAAUCCACGACCAACUUCAAAAAAGUUAAAGCCAUGUAGAUGAAUAGGAUGGUUCUCUGGGGCUAUGACGCCGGUAUCCUGGAGAACAAGCUGCACCGUGGCGUUGUAAGGUAGCUUGUAAAGCCUCGUCCCUGUUUCCGUGGCCAUGUUCGUGACUGAUCCUCCGCUGUAGUUGAAAACAUGCGGUGGGUUCUUGGGAAAAUCCGUCGUGAAAACGCCGCUAAUGUUAAAGUAAUGAGCUGGAAGCAAAGCGGUUUUGGGCAUAGUGAAUGUUACAUUGUUGAUGCUGGCCACCACACGGCUUCCGUUCCCAGCCUUACAAGUGGGGCACGGGUUUAAUCCGAGGCCGACGGUGAAAAAUAGGUGGUGGUCGAUGGUGGUCGGGACUAGGGCAGGGUACUUCUUAGAGUUGAGACUACGAAGAGAGUUUGUAAAAUUGUUGGCGAUGGUAGUAGCGUUUUGCGGCGGAGGGAGAGUGAGUGUUGUUGGGGAGGAGGAUAGUGUUCCGGAGUAAUGGACAGUGGCGGUGGCGGUAACAUUGUCCACCGCGAUGGGGGAGUCCAUGAAGGGAGAAGCGGUUACAAGGUAUUUGCCGGCAGAUUUUGAGGUGGUUAGGAGGACGUUGGUGGUUUGACCGGGUGCUAUAAGGACGGUGUCGGUCUUGAACGGUUUGACGUAGACAGCGUCCACUUCCACCACCGUGAAAAGAUGGCCAGCGACUUUAAAAAAGAGCUCUUCAUUAAGUGCAGCAUUGACUAGUCGUAGCAGAUAGGUUUUGCCAUUUGUUACUGACAGUUUGUAACCUUCGAGAGCAGAAUGAGGGUUUCAUAAUCAGCUUUUUGGCAACUAUUAGUAUUACUAUAAAAAUUUAUAAAGGUAACUAAGAAAUUAAUUACCCUGAGAUGGACAAUUAUUUACGGGGCCAGAGUGUCCGUUGAUCAUGUGAGCGUCAGAGACAUUAGGGGCUAAUCCAGACUUAAGCGCCUCGUUAAUAACGUUUUCAGUAUCUGAUUUCCACCAUUCAGCUGCCAUUAUGAUGAGCAUUAGUUAGCCAUGCCAAAUUAACAUAUAUUCAUUGCCACAUAAGAUAACCGCAUUCAGCUUUAUAGGUUUUUAAUUAACACGAUGAAGUGCAAGCCACAUGAGAAUUAGAUUCAAUAUAUCCGAACUUUCUAAAAUAGAAUGAUUAAUCUACCUAGAACGAUAACUUUCUCGUGGUCGGGUUUGGGGAACGGAUAGGGAACACCACGUUUGGGGAGGAUAACAAUUGCGCCGUGAACCGUGGCUCGAAGCCACAGGAUGUGAGCGUGCCACCAGAGAGUCCCGCGUUGGCCGGUCAAGGUGUAGUUGUAUGUGUAGACUUGACCUGGCUGGAGUGGGCACUGGGUGAUGUAAGCUGGCCCAUCGGCCCAUCCCGUUCUCACUUGUCUCACACCGUGCCUGUUCUCGGUCGUCCACAG
rnacentral:lncRNA from 1 species